CCUACGGGAGGCAGCAGUGGGGAAUAUUGGGCAAUGGGCGCAAGCCUGACCCAGCAACGCCGCGUGAAGGAAGAAGGCUUUCGGGUUGUAAACUUCUUUUCUCAGGGACGAAGAAAGUGACGGUACCUGAGGAAUAAGCCACGGCUAACUACGUGCCAGCAGCCGCGGUAAUACGUAGGUGGCAAGCGUUAUCCGGAUUUACUGGGUGUAAAGGGCGUGUAGGCGGGACUGCAAGUCAGAUGUGAAAACCACGGGCUCAACCUGUGGCCUGCAUUUGAAACUGUAGUUCUUGAGUACUGGAGAGGCAGACGGAAUUCCUAGUGUAGCGGUGAAAUGCGUAGAUAUUAGGAGGAACACCAGUGGCGAAGGCGGUCUGCCGGGGUGCGACUGACGCUGAGGCUCGAAGGUGCGGGUAUCAAACAGGAUUAGAUACCCGAGUAGUC
rnacentral:rRNA from 1 species